GAGUUUGAUCCUGGCUCAGAUUGAACGCUGGCGGCGUGCCUAACACAUGCAAGUCGUGCGAGAAAGUGGGCUUCGGCCCGCGAGUACAGCGGCGCACGGGUGAGUAACACGUGGGUGAUCUCCCUAACAGAUUGGGAUAACAGCGGGAAACUGCUGCUAAUACCGGAUACGAUCCAUUUAAUCGUGGAUGAAAGGCGGCCUCUGCUUGCAAGCUGCCACUGUUAGAUGAGCCCGCGUCCCAUUAGCUUGUUGGCGGGGUAACGGCCCACCAAGGCGACGAUGGGUAGCUGGUCUGAGAGGAUGACCAGCCACACUGGGACUGAAACACGGCCCAGACUCCUACGGGAGGCAGCAGUGGGGAAUAUUGCGCAAUGGGCGAAAGCCUGACGCAGCGACGCCGUGUGAGGGAAGAAGGCCUUCGGGUCGUAAACCUCUGUCAGAAGGGAAGAACCCCCAAGGUUCGAAUAGGGCUUUGGGCUGACGGUACCUUCAGAGGAAGCACCGGCUAAUUCCGUGCCAGCAGCCGCGGUAAUACGGAAGGUGCAAGCGUUAAUCGGAAUUACUGGGCGUAAAGCGCACGUAGGCUGCUUUGUAAGUCGGAUGUGAAAGCCCUCGGCCCAACCGGGGAACUGCAUUCGAAACUGCAAGGCUGGAGUCCUGGAGAGGGUGGCGGAAUUCCCGGUGUAGGAGUGAAAUCCGUAGAUAUCGGGAGGAACACCAGUGGCGAAGGCGGCCACCUGGACAGGUACUGACGCUGAGGUGCGAAAGUGUGGGGAGCAAACAGGAUUAGAUACCCUGGUAGUCCACACCGUAAACGAUGGAUGCUAGGUGUCGGGGAGUAUUCUUCGGCGCCGUAGCUAACGCGUUAAGCAUCCCGCCUGGGA
rnacentral:rRNA from 1 species